CAAGCAGUCCUCCUGCCUCAACCUCCUGAGUAGCUGGGACUACAGGCACAGGCCACCUUGCUCCACUAAUUUCUGUCAUUUUUGUAGAAAGAGGGCCUUGCUGUGGUUGUUCUUGAACUGUUGGGCUCACGUGAUCCUCCUGUCUCUGCCUGUCAAAGAACUGGGGUCACAGAAUACUCCUGGCUCUUCUUGGUCUUUUUAUAAUUUGUCAGCAUUUUCCUUGGGACUCUGCUGGUCUGUUUCAGAGUGACUGAGUGGCCCCUCCCUCUCCUACCGAUCCUUUGAGAUCUGAACCCUGGCCCACAGUCCAGCCACAGCCCUGAAGCUCCUGGCCUCUCUACUCCUCGUGCUUUCAGAAAGUUCACUGCCUGGCACAGAAAAGACCCUCCUGAUGCCAGCCAAUGUAGACACACUCCCUGCAAAGAUCCCACUGGAGCUCACCAGGCUGGGCGCAUCACCCACAUCCCUUCCUCUGGCUCCUCAGACUUGCAUCCCACCAUCAAAUACCCCUCCACCCCACAGAUUCCAAAUAAGCACAGUCACCCCAACACUGAGGUCCCUUCUCUGAUGGGCAGCCCCUCCCCAGCCCCCCAUUGCCCCAUCUCCAGGAUCUUCCUCUUCCAAGAUGUGACUUUUCUUUCUGUGUGUUCCUUUCUCUCCAUCAGUACCUGCUAGCUAUGGUCAUAGCAUAUUUUAGCUGUGCCGGCCUCUUCUCCUGGCAAUACUGAUGCAUUCAUUUCUUCCUGGCCCUGUACCUGGCCAAUGACGUGGAGGAGGUUGAUGAGGCCCCCAAACAAGCCAUCUUCCACUUCCUGUAUGGGAAGAACCGCUUCCAGCGACCCUUGUUCCAGAAGCUUCGGUUCCAGUUCUUCUGUUCCAUGCACUGGAGAGCUUGUGUUUCCCCAGAGGAGUUGGAGAAGAUCCAGGCUUAUGAUCCAGAGAACUGGGUGUGGGUAUGAGACCACGCCUUCCUUUCCUAGAGCUCCAGGGACCAUGGAGGCCUGAGGUCAUCAGCCUGAGGGAAGGUACAUUUGUGUCCCCUAGAGUCAAGGCAGAAUAUUAUGGUCUAUUUAGGAAAUUUGAGGAACCCAAUUGCUUGAACCAGCUUCAAACCUGGGCAACAUGGCGAGAUCCCUUUUCCACAAAAAUACACAAAUUAACUGGGUGACGUGGGAGGCAUCUCUAUUCCCAGCUACUCAGGAGGCUGAAGAGGGAGGAUCUCUGGAGCUUGGGAGGUUGGGGCUGCAGGGAGCCCUGAUCCUGCCACUGCACUC
rnacentral:lncRNA from 13 species